AACCCUGGUGGCGAGUGGCGAACGGGUGAGUAAUACAUCGGAACGUGUCCUGUAAUGGGGGAUAGCCCGGCGAAAGCCGGAUUAAUACCGCAUACGAUCUACGGAAGAAAGCGGGGGAUCCUUCGGGACCUCGCGCUAUAGGGGCGGCCGAUGGCAGAUUAGCUAGUUGGUGGGGUAAAGGCCUACCAAGGCGACGAUCUGUAGCUGGUCUGAGAGGACGACCAGCCACACUGGGACUGAGACACGGCCCAGACUCCUACGGGAGGCAGCAGUGGGGAAUUUUGGACAAUGGGGGAAACCCUGAUCCAGCAAUGCCGCGUGUGUGAA
rnacentral:rRNA from 1 species